rnacentral:rRNA from 1 species
CCCUUAGAUGUUCUGGGCCGCACGCGCGCUACACUGAUGCAUUCAACGAGUCUACAACCUGGUCUGCUAGGGCUGGGUAAUCUUUUGAAUGUGCAUCGUGAUUGGGAUAGAUGAUUGCAAUUCUUCAUCUUCAACGAGGAAUCCCUUGUAAACAUGCUCAAGAAUAGCGUGUUGAAUACGUCCCUGCCGUUUGUACACACCGCCCGUCGUUUCUUCCGACUGAUACUCAUUGUGAGUUGCAAGGACCCUUUAUUGGGAAAUUGCUGCAAAUGCUUUGUAUUGGAGGAAGAAAAAGGCGGAACA